rnacentral:rRNA from 1 species
UACGUAGGUGGCGAGCGUUGUCCGGAUUUACUGGGCGUAAAGGGCGCGUAGGCGGCCUGCUAAGUCGGACGUGAAAUCCCUCGGCUCAACCGGGGAACUGCGUCCGAUACUGGCGAGGCUUGAAUCCGGGAGAGGGAUGUGGAAUUCCAGGUGUAGCGGUGAAAUGCGUAGAUAUCAGGAGGAACACCAGCGGCGAAGGCGGCGCUCUGGGCCGGUACUGACACUGAGGAGCGAAAGCGUGGGUAGCAAACAGG